rnacentral:lncRNA from 1 species
GGGGAAAUAAGGGGGUUAUAGGGUAAUGGGGGGGUAAUGGGGGAAACGGGGUUAUGGGGGAAAUGGGGUUAUGGGGAGGUUAUGGGGCGGACGUGGGGGUUAUGAGGGGAAAUGGGGUUAUAUGGACCAUUUUGGGAUCCUUGAGGCCAUUUUGGGGCCAUUUGGGGUCAUUUUGGUGCAGUUCUGGUCACUCACCUGCUUGUUGCAGUGCUCAGAUUCCUCAAAACCCCAUUUCUGAAAUCCCACCUCCCAUUCUGGGGCCAUUUUGGAGCCAUCUGGGGCCAUUUUGGUGCCGUUUGGUGCCAUUUGGUGCCGUUUGGUGCCAUUUUGGGCCAUUUUGGUGCCAUUUUGGGCCAUUUUGGGGCCAUUUUGGUGCCAUUUUGGUGCCAUUUUGGUGCCAUUUUGGGCCAUUUCCGUGCCAUUUUGGGCCAUUUUGGUGCCAUUUUGGGGCCGUUUGGUCGCUCACCUGCUUGCUGUAAUGCUCCGAAUCCUCUAAACCCCAUUUCUCAAAUCCCACCUCCCAUUU